UACAGAGGUCUCGAGCGUUAGGCGGAAUCACUGGGCUUAAAGCGUGUGUAGGCGGAUUGGUAAGUACCUUGUGAAAUCCCACGGCUCAACCGUGGAACUGCUCGGUAUACUGCCUGUCUUGUGCAACCUAGGGGCGAGCGGAACAAGUGGUGGAGCGGUGAAAUGCGUAGAUAUCACUUGGAACGCCAACGGUGAAAACAGCUCGCU
rnacentral:rRNA from 1 species